rnacentral:rRNA from 1 species
GACGUAGGUGGCGAACGUUAUCCGGAAUUAUUGGGCGUAAAGGGUGCGUAGAUGGCCUGAUAAGUUAGCAGUGGGAAAUCGAGGCUCAACCUCGUGGAAGCUGGUAAUACUGUCAGGCUCGAGUGCAGGAGAGGUUAACGGAACUCCAUGUGGAGCGGUAAAAAUGUGUAGAUAUAUGGAAGAACACCAAUAACGGCGAAGGCAGUUAACUAUUCUGUUUACUGACAUUUGAGGCACGAAAAGCGUGGGGGAGCAAA